rnacentral:lncRNA from 1 species
UCCCUUGUCUCUGCGACGGUAACCGUCCGAUCGCAGCCCAUCUCAGAUCUUCUUCAUCCUGCUCCACUGUCUCAGCAUUCAACGGCCGCGCGGACGAUUUUCUUCCCGUCUCGACGUCGAGGUCGAAAUACUCACUCCCAUUGGAAGCAUCCGCCAUUGAUUAUUCUCUUCUUCUUCUCCGAGGUCGAUCAUGAUUUUGUUUUCUUCUUCUGCGAUCUAUGAGAGAUAUUUUUCUGUUUAUUUUGGGGUAUGAUGUUAAAAUGUCACAAACUCAAAUUAAAAAUCAAACCCCCAAAGUUUCACUCCCUUCUCAAAUUCGCCCCAACACUUUCUCCCUUGUCCUAGCAACUCAAGGAAGACUGAUCAAGCGAGGAUCAACCUCCGCCCUAGCCACACCUCCCGGCGCCUCCUUCGCCACCUCAACCUCACCUUUCCCAACCUCCACCGCCAUGUCAUCACCACCACCACCCCCGAUCUUCUCCUCAUCGUAAUUAAGAUCGCCUUCGUCCAUCGUCGACGGAUCCGGCUGCAUCUCGUAAUCCUCCAUCCGAGCUGCCCCCUCCCACGUGUACUUCCCGCCGUGACCUGACUUCGGCGGCGGACACCUGAUCUUAGUCCCGUCGGAAGGGUGCCUCUCCAUCCUUUGGACGCCUUUCUCCAUCAGCUUCUUCUUGACUUGAUUGAUCGUGUCAGGGUUUCGAGUCUUUAGCUCGAGUUUAUCGACAGCUUUCCGACCUUCCUCGUCCCGGUGCUCAGAUCGUAGAUCAGAUCGUGAAAUGGAAUCGAAGAAGAGGAAGAGGAAAGGGUUUCACGAACAAUCUACGGAAAAAUUAGGGUUUGGAGAAAAUGAGGAAGAAGGAUCUAGCGUCGGUGAGGUGAAGGUUAGGAUGCUUUCCAUAGGUGGGAUUGCUGGGCCACUAAGAUUAUCUUGACAGAUCAGAAGUUAUUCGAAGCCCAAUAUCCAAAAUCAGUUAUGACGUGGCGAAACGUUAUAACAUAAUUGGUUGAUUUUUUAUGCUUACGUGGACACUAUAGGAGGAGCUUAUAUCUCCCUUUUAGUAUAGUAUAGACUAGAGAUUUUUCCCGGGCUACGCCCGGGUUUUUUCAUAUAUUUUAACUAAACUUAAAUGAUCAUAUAAUUUUUUUUAUAAUGUAUAAUUGUAAAAAAUAUAUUUUUGCUUAUUUUCAGUUACAUGUCGCUAAUUAAAUAUCAUUACAAUUGAUAUAUACAUCAGCUCCAUUUGCUAAAAACUUCAUGCAGAGUUUUUCCUAUUUGAAAUACUCAAAUAAUCUUGAUGGAAGCUACCAAAGGUUAUAAAACAAAAAAUAAACUGUUUCUGUUUGAAAAAUAAUAUGUUUUAUUUUACCGAAGUGACAGGUUAGAACAAUUAAGUUUGGUUACUGACCUAAGACUUUCACAUAAUUGAAGAAGUAGGUGAAGAUUGGCUAUGUUCUCUUUGAUUGAAUUCUUUAUUCAAGAACAUGAGAUUGACGAUGUUUUUCAAGAACAUAAAAUUGGCUAUGUUCUCUAUGUUUGAAAAUUAGAUUAUAUGUCUAAAACAUAAGCAUUAUAAACACUUCUUCAACCACUAAACGUAAAAAAUGUAUAUAUAAUAGUUUUAAUCCAUAUAGAAUCAUAUUAAUUAUAGACAUAUAAAUAAUUUUAAUACUUUGUUUUCAUAUAUUGUAUAAUAUGUUAAAUGUAUUGGAAAGUAAGUUUGUAUUCUUAAAUUUGUUGUACCAAAUGAUUUGUAAAGAGAGGACCUUUGUUUAAGCAUAUGUGUGGAAGAAUUUAUUUCUAAAUUUUAAAGAUAUAAUAUAUAUAAGUUGUAGGACUUUCAAAAUUGUCAAAAAAUAAUAUUGAAAUUAAUUUUAAAAUGUUUAUGGCUCUGUAAAACUCGGUUCUCUGAUUAACUAAAUUAAUGAUGUAUUUCAAAUAUCAGUUAAAAAUACAAAAACACAAUCCACACUAUUUAUAAUAGUAAUGCACAGACUACGUGUCAAAGCUCAUCAUCAUACGUUUUUCUUUAAGAAGAUGAACCUUUAUUUUUUUUAUUAGAAGUAUGUGUUUAUUCUGCUAUUGCUCAUGAAUCCAUUUAAUGUUUGUCAAAAUUCCAACACAUAUUUUUGGAGGAGUUAUGUUGCACCCAAUGAUCAAAUAGCAAACCUUGAAUAUACGCAAGCUAGGUGUAAAUCAUAUAAUUUUUUUUUUUUGGAAAGAAAUACAAAACGAAAAGAAAAUGCGCCUCAGAGGUAGAAAAUAAUUAACUUUACCAUGAAUACAUAUUUUCCAUGGUUGUUUUUUCAUUUAUACGAAUUUACAUUUUAGUUAGUGGGGCUGUGGAGGUGGACACUUCUUUUUGCCUAUCAAAUUUAUCCAGUGACAAUGAAGUAACAAACCUAUUUCCAAUUAACUAUUACAGCUUAUAAAUUAAAUUUUUAACUUGUUUGCAAUCAUUUAUAUAAAGCCACCGGGAGAUAAAAAAGUCAUCUUGGGACUGCUGGCAUUUCAUCAGCCAUAAUGUCUUCGAGGAGAGGGUUGAUUCUCAGCGACGGGAGCACUUGGAGCAGAUCCAGCAGUAUAACAACUGCAACAACAACAACAACACGUGAUUCUGAUUACAGACAGGAUAAUAGCAAAAACAUCAGCUAUUUCACAUCAGUGUUCAAAUUGGCUAAAGAAAAAGCAAGCAACAUCAAAUGGGUACAUCUCAACAUCAAAGAACUGUAUCAUUGUAGCUAUCUAAUGAAAAUAGCUUAUGCAUAGGAUAUAUGCAUAAGAUAAUAUAUCUCAACACAUUCCUAUCAAAUUUGUUAACAGCUUUCAGUCAACCAACCAACACAAAUGGAUGGAAAACUAAAAAGGAAACAUAAGCAAUUAUAUGUUAGUACAAAAAAUUACCCAAGAUGUGAAGGAAGACUAAAUCCAUUUUAAUGAGUGAACCUGGAACAAAUAAAGUCAAAACAACUUUGUACAUGAUAAAGUAGAACACCUAGAACAUAUAAAAGUAUGUUUGAUGAAAGACAAAAAUAUUAGAGUGAAAGCAAAACAGUCCUCAAACCCAUCAUUUUUCAUGGUUCCAACUUCCAUUCUUGUGUGAGUCAGCUAUAUGACUCAUAUGGUUAGCUUGUGUUUUCUAGUCUUCAUCAUUCUCAAACUGCUUAAAACACGCUGCAACACAAAAUCGAUACAAAAUAAAAAAACAAUCACGUAAAAUGGUUACGUGUGGAAAAUAUACUAAUGAGAAAAGACGAACAUAGAAAAGAUACAGAGAAAAAAAAGAAAACCCAAACAUAGAAACAUAGAAUCAAAAAGAUACCUAUUGAGCCGUUUCUUGAUAGCGGAGAGAAGCUUGUAAUUAUCCUGAUCGCUAGUGGCAAGAGCUUGACGAACAACCAUCUCACGAUCCGAACGAUCAAGCUUCCUUACGUCAAUCGUCUGCACGACGUUCCCGUCUGCGUAACCAGAAGUUUGCGACCGACGCAGAGUCGCUAAAUGGCUCCCUUGUCUCUGCGACAGUAACCGUCCGAUCGCAGCCCAUCUCAGAUCUUCUUCAUCCUGCUCCACUGUCUCAGCAUUCAACGGCCGCGCGAACGAUUUUCUUCCCGUCUCGACGUCGAGGUCGAAAUACUCACUCCCAUUGGAAGCAUCCGCCAUUGAUUAUUCUCUUCUUCUUCUCCGAGGUCGAUCAUGAUUUUGUUUUCUUCUUCUGCGAUCUCUGAGAGAUAUUUUUCUGUUUAGUUUGGGGUAUGAUGUUAAAAUGUCACAAACUCAAAUUAAAAAUCAAACCCCCAAAGUUUCACUCCCUUCUCAAAUUCGCCCCAACACUUUCUCCCUUGUCCUAGCAACUCAAGGAGGACUGAUCAAGCGAGGAUCAACCUCCGCCCUAGCCACACCUCCCGGCGCCUCCUUCGCCACCUCAACCUCACCUUUCCCAACCUCCACCGCCAUGUCAUCACCACCACCACCCCCGAUCUUCUCCUCAUCGUAAUUAAGAUCGCCUUCGUCCAUCGUCGACGGAUCCGGCUGCAUCUCGUAAUCCUCCAUCCGAGCUGCCCCCUCCCACGUGUACUUCCCGCCGUGACCUGACUUCGGCGGCGGACACCUGAUCUUAGUCCCGUCGGAAGGGUGCCUCUCCAUCCUUUGGACGCCUUUCUCCAUCAGCUUCUUCUUGACUUGAUUGAUCGUGUCAGGGUUUCGAGUCUUUAGCUCGAGUUUAUCGACAACUUUCCGACCUUCCUCGUCCCGGUGCUCAGAUCGUAGAUCAGAUCGUGAAAUGGAAUCGAAGAAGAGGAAGAGGAAAGGGUUUCACGAACAAUCUACGGAAAAAUUAGGGUUUGGAGAAAAUGAGGAAGAAGGAUCUAGCGUCGGUGAGGUGAAGGUUAGGAUGCUUUCCAUAGGUGGGAUUGCUGGGCCACUAAGAUUAUCUUGACAGAUCAGAAGUUAUUCGAAGCCCAAUAUCCAAAAUCAGUUAUGACGUGGCGAAACGUUAUAACAUAAUUGGUUGAUUUUUUAUGCUUACGUGGACACUAUAGGAGGAGCUUAUAUCUCCCUUUUAGUAUAGUAUAGACUAGAGAUUUUUCCCGGGCUACGCCCGGGUUUUUUCAUAUAUUUUAACUAAACUUAAAUGAUCAUAUAAUUUUUUUUAUAAUGUAUAAUUGUAAAAAAUAUAUUUUUGCUUAUUUUCAGUUACAUGUCGCUAAUUAAAUAUCAUUACAAUUGAUAUAUACAUCAGCUCCAUUUGCUAAAAACUUCAUGCAGAGUUUUUCCUAUUUGAAAUACUCAAAUAAUCUUGAUGGAAGCUACCAAAGGUUAUAAAACAAAAAAUAAACUGUUUCUGUUUGAAAAAUAAUAUGUUUUAUUUUACCGAAGUGACAGGUUAGAACAAUUAAGUUUGGUUACUGACCUAAGACUUUCACAUAAUUGAAGAAGUAGGUGAAGAUUGGCUAUGUUCUCUUUGAUUGAAUUCUUUAUUCAAGAACAUGAGAUUGACGAUGUUUUUCAAGAACAUAAAAUUGGCUAUGUUCUCUAUGUUUGAAAAUUAGAUUAUAUGUCUAAAACAUAAGCAUUAUAAACACUUCUUCAACCACUAAACGUAAAAAAUGUAUAUAUAAUAGUUUUAAUCCAUAUAGAAUCAUAUUAAUUAUAGACAUAUAAAUAAUUUUAAUACUUUGUUUUCAUAUAUUGUAUAAUAUGUUAAAUGUAUUGGAAAGUAAGUUUGUAUUCUUAAAUUUGUUGUACCAAAUGAUUUGUAAAGAGAGGACCUUUGUUUAAGCAUAUGUGUGGAAGAAUUUAUUUCUAAAUUUUAAAGAUAUAAUAUAUAUAAGUUGUAGGACUUUCAAAAUUGUCAAAAAAUAAUAUUGAAAUUAAUUUUAAAAUGUUUAUGGCUCUGUAAAACUCGGUUCUCUGAUUAACUAAAUUAAUGAUGUAUUUCAAAUAUCAGUUAAAAAUACAAAAACACAAUCCACACUAUUUAUAAUAGUAAUGCACAGACUACGUGUCAAAGCUCAUCAUCAUACGUUUUUCUUUAAGAAGAUGAACCUUUAUUUUUUUUAUUAGAAGUAUGUGUUUAUUCUGCUAUUGCUCAUGAAUCCAUUUAAUGUUUGUCAAAAUUCCAACACAUAUUUUUGGAGGAGUUAUGUUGCACCCAAUGAUCAAAUAGCAAACCUUGAAUAUACGCAAGCUAGGUGUAAAUCAUAUAAUUUUUUUUUUUUGGAAAGAAAUACAAAACGAAAAGAAAAUGCGCCUCAGAGGUAGAAAAUAAUUAACUUUACCAUGAAUACAUAUUUUCCAUGGUUGUUUUUUCAUUUAUACGAAUUUACAUUUUAGUUAGUGGGGCUGUGGAGGUGGACACUUCUUUUUGCCUAUCAAAUUUAUCCAGUGACAAUGAAGUAACAAACCUAUUUCCAAUUAACUAUUACAGCUUAUAAAUUAAAUUUUUAACUUGUUUGCAAUCAUUUAUAUAAAGCCACCGGGAGAUAAAAAAGUCAUCUUGGGACUGCUGGCAUUUCAUCAGCCAUAAUGUCUUCGAGGAGAGGGUUGAUUCUCAGCGACGGGAGCACUUGGAGCAGAUCCAGCAGUAUAACAACUGCAACAACAACAACACGUGAUUCUGAUUACAGACAGGAUAAUAGCAAAAACAUCAGCUAUUUCACAUCAGUGUUCAAAUUGGCUAAAUAAAAAGCAAGAUACAAAAACACAAUCCACACUAUUUAUAAUAGUAAUGCUUGUACUACAUGUCAAAGCUCAUCAUCAUACGUUUUUCUUUAAGAAGAUGAACCUUUUAUUUUUUUAUUAGAAGUAUGUGUUUAUUCUGCUAUUGCUCAUGAAUCCAUUUAAUGUUUGUCAAAAUUCCAACACAUAUUUUUGGAGAAGUUAUGUUGCGUUUAGCACCCAAUGAUCAAAUAGCAAACCUUGAAUAUACGCAAGCAAGGUGUAAACCAUAUAAAUUUUUUUUUGGAAAGAAAUACAAAACGAAAAAAAAAUGCGCCUCAGAGGUAGAAAAUAAUUAACUUUACCAUGAAUACAUAUUUUCCAUGGUUGUUUUUUUCAUUUAUACGAAUUUAAAUUUUAGUUAGUGGGGCUGUGGGGGUGGACACUUCUUUUUGCCUAUCAAAUUUAUCCAGUGACAAUGAAGUAACAAACCUAUUUCUAAUUAACUAUUACAGCUUAUAAAUUAAAUUAUUUACUUGUUUGCAAUCAUUUAUAUAAAGCCACCGGGAGAUAAAAAAAAGUUAUCUUGGGAAUGCUGGCAUUUCAUCAGCCAUAAUGUCUUCGAGGAGAGGAUUGAUUCUCAGCGACGGGAGCACUUGGAGCAGAUCCAGCAGUAUAACAACUGCAACAACAACAACACGUGAUUCUGAUUACAGACAGGAUAAUAGCAAAAACAUCAGCUAUUUCACAUCAGUGUUCAAAUUGGCUAAAGAAAAAGCAAGCAACAUCAAAUGGGUACAUCUCAACAUCAAAGAACUGUAUCAUUGUAGCUAUCUAAUGAAAAUAGCUUAUGCAUAAGAUAAUAUAUCUCAACACAUUCCUAUCAAAUUUGUUAACAGCUUUCAGUCAACCAACCAACACAAAUGGAUGGAAAACUAAAAAGGAAACAUAAGCAAUUAUAUGUUAGUACAAAAAAUUACCCAAGAUGUGAAGGAGGACUAAAUCCAUUUUAAUGAGUGAACCUGGAACAAAUAAAGUCAAAACAACUUUGUACAUGAUAAGGUAGAAAACCUAGAACAUAUAAAAGUAUGUUUGAUGAAAGACAAAAAUAUUAGAGUGAAAGCAAAACAGUCCUCAAACCCAUCAUUUUUCAUGGUUCCAACUUCCAUUCUUGUGUGAGUCAGCUAUAUGACUCAUAUGGUUAGCUUGUGUUUUCUAGUCUUCAUCAUUCUCAAACUGCUUAAAACACGCUGCAACACAAAAUCGAUACAAAAUAAAAAAACAAUCACGUAAAAUGGUUACGUGUGGAAAAUAUACUCAUGAGAAAAGAUGAACAUAGAAAAGAUACAGAGAAAAAAAAGAAAACCCAAACAUAGAAACAUAGAAUCAAAAAGAUACCUAUUGAGCCGUUUCUUGAUAGCGGAGAGAAGCUUGUAAUUAUCCUGAUCGCUAGUGGCAAGAGCUUGACGAACAACCAUCUCACGAUCCGAACGAUCAAGCUUCCUUACGUCAAUCGUCUGCACGACGUUCCCGUCUGCGUAACCAGAAGUUUGCGACCGACGCAGAGUCGCUAAAUGGCUCCCUUGUCUCUGCGACAGUAACCGUCCGAUCGCAGCCCAUCUCAGAUCUUCUUCAUCCUGCUCCACUGUCUCAGCAUUCAACGGCCGCGCGAACGAUUUUCUUCCCGUCUCGACGUCGAGGUCGAAAUACUCACUCCCAUUGGAAGCAUCCGCCAUUGAUUAUUCUCUUCUUCUUCUCCGAGGUCGAUCAUGAUUUUGUUUUCUUCUUCUGCGAUCUCUGAGAGAUAUUUUUCUGUUUAGUUUGGGGUAUGAUGUUAAAAUGUCACAAACUCAAAUUAAAAAUCAAACCCCCAAAGUUU